UGCACUUUUGGUUCAUUUAAGGGACUAGAGGAGCUUAACCCACAUUUUGAGUCACAAAGAUAGAAUCAUGCCAAGAAAAUAAUUAAGUUCAGAAUUGCUCACAGUGAUGUAACCUGAGAUGAAGCAUGAGGUCUAAUCAUAAAGAUAUAGUCACCUUUCUUGACUUGCACUUUUAUUCCAUUGAUUUAGACCUAGCUUACCAAAACCAGAACCACCGGUUUGCCAAACCGGAACUGCCGAUUUUGUCUCUCCAGUUUGAAUGCUUAGCUUCAGUUGAGCUAUCCUACACCUCAUUAUAUUAUAUUUUUUCUUGGGUGAUUC
rnacentral:lncRNA from 1 species